GCCCCUCUAGCUCAGUAGGUAGAGCGUCCCCUUGAAGCGGGGAAGGUCGCUGGUUCAAGUCCAACGGGAGGCA
rnacentral:tRNA from 3 species